GUUAGCGUUGUUCGGAAUUACUGGGCGUAAAGCGUACGUAGGCGGAUUAAUAAGUUAGAGGUGAAAUCCCAGGGCUCAACCCUGGAACUGCCUUUAAAACUGUUAGUCUUGAGAUCGAGAGAGGUGAGUGGAAUUCCAAGUGUAGAGGUGAAAUUCGUAGAUAUUUGGAGGAACACCAGUGGCGAAGGCGGCUCACUGGCUCGAUACUGACGCUGAGGUACGAAAGUGUGGGGAGCAAACAGGAUUAGAUACCCUGGUAGUCCACACCGUAAACGAUGAAUGCCAGACGUCAGCAAGCAUGCUUGUUGGUGUCACACCUAACGGAUUAAGCAUUCCGCCUGGGGAGUACGGUCGCAAGAUUAAAACUCAAAGGAAUUGACGGGGGCCGCACAAGCGGUGGAGCAUGUGGUUUAAUUCGACGCAACGCGCAGAACCUUACCAACCCUUGACAUACUUGUCGCGGAUUCCAGAGAUGGAUUCCUUCAGUUCGGCUGGACAAUGUACAGGUGCUGCAUGGCUGUCGUCAGCUCGUGUCGUGAGAUGUUCGGUUAAGUCCGGCAACGAGCGCAACCCACGUCCUUAGUUACCAGCAUUUAGUUGGGUACCCUAAGGAGACUGCCGGUGAUAAGCCGGAGGAAGGUGUGGACGACGUCAAGUCAUCAUGGCCUUACGGGUUGGGCUACACACGUGCUACAAUGGCAUCUACAGUGAGUUAAUCUCCAAAAGAUGUCUCAGUUCGGAUUGGGGUCUGCAACUCGACCCCAUGAAGUUGGAAUCGCUAGUAAUCGCGGAACAGCAUGCCGCGGUGAAUACGUUCCCGGGCCUUGUACACACCGCCCGUCACACCAUGGGAAUUGGGUCUACCCGAAGGUGGUGCGCCAACUAUUUAUAGAGGCAGCCAACCACGGUAGGUUCAGUGACUGGGGUGUAGUCGUAACAAGGU
rnacentral:rRNA from 1 species